rnacentral:misc_RNA from 1 species
UGGCUCUGGCAUCGAUGAAGAACGCAGCGAAAUGCGAUAAGUAGUGUGAAUUGCAGAAUUCAGUGAAUCAUCGAAUCUUUGAACGCACAUUGCGCCCCUUGGUAUUCUAUGGGGCAUGCCUGUUCGAGCGUCAUCUACACCCUCAAGCUCUGCUUGGUGUUGGGCGUCUGUCCCGCCUACGUGCGCGGACUCGCCCCAAAUUCAUUGGCAGCGGUCCUUGCCUCCUCUCGCGCAGCACAUUGCGCUUCUCGAGGUGUGCGGCCCGCGUCCACGAAGCAACAUUACCGUCUUUGACCUCGGAUCAGGUAGGGAUACCCGCUGA